rnacentral:rRNA from 1 species
GACGAACGCUGGCGGCGUGCUUAACACAUGCAAGUCGAACGAGAAUCUGUGGAAAGAGGAUUCGUCCAAUUGAAGCAGAGGACAGUGGCGGACGGGUGAGUAACGCGUGAGGAACCUGCCUUUCAGAGGGGGACAACAGUUGGAAACGACUGCUAAUACCGCAUAACAUAUAGAUGUCGCAUGGCAUUUAUAUCAAAGAUUUAUCGCUGAAAGAUGGCCUCGCGUCUGAUUAGCUAGUUGGUGAGGUAACGGCCCACCAAGGCGACGAUCAGUAGCCGGACUGAGAGGUUGAACGGCCACAUUGGGACUGAGAUACGGCCCAGACUCCUACGGGAGGCAGCAGUGGGGAAUAUUGGGCAAUGGGCGCAAGCCUGACCCAGC